rnacentral:rRNA from 1 species
GACGUAGGGCGCGAGCGUUGUCCGGAUUUAUUGGGCGUAAAGAGCUCGUAGGCGGUCCAUCACGUCGGGAGUGAAAAGCUGGGGCUUAACCCCAGUCCUGCUUCCGAUACGGGUGGACUAGAGGUAGGUAGGGGAGAACGGAAUUCCUGGUGUAGCGGUGAAAUGCGCAGAUAUCAGGAGGAACACCGGUGGCGAAGGCGGUUCUCUGGGCCUUACCUGACGCUGAGGAGCGAAAGCGUGGGGAGCAAACAGG